rnacentral:miRNA from 1 species
CUCAUACACGGCUGUCCUCUCU